AACAUGUAACUUUUUGUAAGUAAUUUGAAUAUGUUGUAGCUAAUAGUUUGGUUUGCUCAACAACAAAAACUCCCAGAUCAGUGCGCGCUGUGCGUUGCUGUGGCAACACGCGUAACUUGGAUAUUUGUUUUCCCUAGCAACCGGACUGCUUACUACCGCUCAUCUCACACCUAGCAAUUUUUGCCGUUUAGACUUCUGACAUUUCCUAUUUUUACGUAUAUUUUGCCAAUUAAAGUCACGUAUUGACUCGUAAAAUGGAUUCCAACACGCUAUACUAUUCAUUGGACCUCGUUUCUGGUACUGGGUUGACUUUGAGCAGUGAGCAAAGAGCGGCCCUGCAUACUUCCCUGGUGAUCCUGAAGAAAAACUACAAAUUCAACCGUGUCCUGCUUUGGGGCAAGAUUUUGGGCAUAAAGGGCGACUAUUUCAUAGCACAAGGAGUUAAAGAUGAUGAAAUGCGUGACAAAAAUACCCUCUACAGUUUUAACUGUGUAGACUGGCAUCUGCUCCCACCUACCACCGAGGAUAUGCUGGCGGAGGUGUCGGCGGCAGCGAAGGGCCGUUUCGUGGGCGACCCGUCCCAUGAGUAUGAGCACACAGAGACCCGCAGGCAGGGCGAGGGUGACGAGGCUGUAGAGGAGGAAGUCUCGGUACGGAUCAAGGUGAAGGAGGAAGUGAGGCUGGCAGCCACGGUCCACACCAUCAAUACGGAAGUUUCCGUGGUUCCACGAGGAGCCUUUAUCCGGAGUCCCCACGGCCUGGUCCAGACCAACCGCAGCUUUGAAGGUCUGUCGUUCUCUGAGGCGGACAAGCUGAGAAACUUCCUCCACUUCACGGAGCCCCGGAGUCUGAAGCAGAAGUCCAUCCUGGAGACUGCUGAGCAGGACCCCUCCAUCGACUUCCUGGACCCCCUGAGCAGCGAUGUCCCCAAAGGGUCCUGGAGCCUGCAGUUUGAGCGGGGCAGCAGUGUGUGUGUGGUGCGUAGCCUGCUGUGGCUUGGCCUGACCGGCUACCACGUCCCCAACACGCCCCAGCAUGGCUACAUCUACAUGGGCGACGGACUCAAGAACAUGGACCUGCCCUUCAUGCUGUAGACCAGGGGAACAUGGACCUGCCCUUCAUGCUGUAGACCAGGGGAACAUGGACCUGUCUUCAUGCUGUAGACCAGGGGAACAUGGACCUGUCUUCAUGCUGUAGACCAGGGGAACAUGGACCUGUCUUCACUCUAACUCUCUACACACAUACACAGGACUUAACCUUACCCUCAACUCUACACAAGCUCAUCUCACUCAAAAAAAACCUUUUAGUUGUAUUUAUGCAAAAUAUGUUUUCCCAGUUGUUGAAGUACAAAAUAAACAUG